rnacentral:rRNA from 1 species
CCUACGGGAGGCAGCAGUGAGGAAUAUUGGUCAAUGGACGCAAGUCUGAACCAGCCAUGCCGCGUGCAGGAAGACGGCUCUAUGAGUUGUAAACUGCUUUUGUACGAGGGUAAACGCAGAUACGCGUAUCUGUCUGCAAGUAUCGUACGAAUAAGGAUCGGCUAACUCCGUGCCAGCAGCCGCGGUAAUACGGAGGAUUCAAGCGUUAUCCGGAUUUAUUGGGUUUAAAGGGUGCGUAGGCGGUCGGAUAAGUUAGAGGUGAAAUCCCGAGGCUCAACUUCGGAAUUGCCUCUGAUACUGUUCGGCUAGAGAGUAGUUGCGGUAGGCGGAAUGUAUGGUGUAGCGGUGAAAUGCUUAGAGAUCAUACAGAACACCGAUUGCGAAGGCAGCUUACCAAGCUACGACUGACGUUGAGGCACGAAAGCGUGGGGAGCAAACAGGAUUAGAUACCCGGGUAGUC